rnacentral:rRNA from 1 species
UACGUAGGGGCAAGCGUUGUCCGGAAUCAUUGGGCGUAAAGCGCGCGUAGGUGGCUUCGUAAGUCCGUUGUGAAAGUCAAAGGCUCAACCUUUGAAAGCCGAUGGAUACUGUGAAGCUAGAGUACGGAAGGAGGCGAGUGGAAUUCCUGGUGUAGCGGUGGAAUGCGCAGAGUAUCAGGAGGAACACCAAUAGCGAAGGCAG